GUUGACUCAUGCAUACUCAAGAAACCCUGUGAAGCAGCCUUGAAAAGAGAUUUUUCUGGCCAAGGUUUGGAACUAGAAUUCUUGGGCCGUCAACAUCCAGCACAGAAUAUGACGACAUAGAGAGAGCCGGUGCCCUGAUCUGGUCUCACACCAUGAGAGGCCUUCUGUGUAUACAUUUUGGGUACCUCUGUUGAUAUGUUGAAACUCAGUCUACCACUGUAGCUCUAGCAAAAAGCUUCCCAUUGGCCCACAGGGCCUCUAGUUGUGCACUCUGUAUACGUGGUUCACCAUGAAAGACAGAACUGGUGGAGAGGACCAUGGACGCUGGAAGCAGUCUCAAAACCCUUUGAAGACAGAAUUCUAAGUCUUUAUGUUCUACAGCAUGAUCUAAAAGGUGGUAGGUCAGGGUGAGCAGCAUCACCUCCAACUAACCUCAUCCCCUUGGACCUGGUAAACUCCUUGUACUUUGGGGAGGAAUGUGGCCAGAGAGAGGACCAUAGUGGAGCCCUUGAAAGCACAGGCUCCAGGGCAAAGUGUUCUUUUGCUCAAUUAUAUGGGCAUUCUUCUUAUGGGUGUAGUUAUUUGCUUAUUGCUAUGUAAUGAUUUGGAUUUAAUAAUGCUAUAUUGAAAGUGCAAUGGCCUACAGAACUGAGGGAUCACGUUUUAGCUUAAAUUCAAUAGAAAAAAAUGACUCUUUUAUAAAAAAAAGUAUUUAAAUUUGUAAAUUGUCAUCCCUAUCCACUAAGGGAUAUUAAAUGUAUUAAAUGCUGGGAAAUAUAUAUGCACAUAUAUAUUUAUAUAUGUAUGUAUG
ensembl:lncRNA novel transcript